UACAGAGGUGGCAAGCGUUGUUCGGAAUUACUGGGCGUAAAGGGCGCGUAGGCGGCCUUCUAAGUCAGACGUGAAAUCCCCCCGGCUUAACCUGGGAACUGCGUCUGAUACUGGAUGGCUUGAGUUUGGGGAGAGGGAUGCGGAAUUCCAGGUGUAGCGGUGAAAUGCGUAGAUAUCUGGAGGAACACCGGUGGCGAAGGCGGCAUCCUGGACCAACACUGACGCUGAGUGAGCGAAAGCCAGGGGAGCAAACGGG
rnacentral:rRNA from 1 species